GAUGAACGCUAGCUACAGGCUUAACACAUGCAAGUCGAGGGGCAGCAUGGUCUUAGCUUGCUAAGGCCGAUGGCGACCGGCGCACGGGUGAGUAACACGUAUCCAACCUGCCGUCUACUCUUGGACAGCCUUCUGAAAGGAAGAUUAAUACAAGAUGGCAUCAUGAGUCCGCAUGUUCACAUGAUUAAAGGUAUUCCGGUAGACGAUGGGGAUGCGUUCCAUUAGAUAGUAGGGCGGGGUAACGGUACCCGACCCUACGUAC
rnacentral:rRNA from 1 species